rnacentral:rRNA from 1 species
CCGGACCGGCGCACGGGUGAGUAACGCGUAUGCAACUUACCUAUCAGAGGGGGAUAACCCGGCGAAAGUCGGACUAAUACCGCAUGAAGCAGGGGCCCCGCAUGGGGAUAUUUGCUAAAGAUUCAUCGCUGAUAGAUAGGCAUGCGUUCCAUUAGGCAGUUGGCGGGGUAACGGCCCACCAAACCGACGAUGGAUAGGGGUUCUGAGAGGAAGGUCCCCCACAUUGGUACUGAGACACGGACCAAACUCCUACGGAAGGCAGCAG